GAUCCCUUCGGGGUGAAGGAAGGAAAGACUUAGUGGCGGACGGGUGAGUAACGCGUGGGUAACCUGCCCUUUACCGAGGGACAACAGCUGGAAACGGCUGCUAAUACCGCAUAAGCGCACAGCAUCGCAUGAUGCAGUGUGAAAAACUCCGGUGGUAAAGGAUGGACCCGCGUCUGAUUAGCCAGUUGGCGGGGUAACGGCCCACCAAAGCGACGAUCAGUAGCCGGCCUGAGAGGGUGAACGGCCACAUUGGGACUGAGACACGGCCCAAACUCCUACGGGAGGCAGCAGUGGGGAAUAUUGCACAAUGGGCGAAAGCCUGAUGCAGCGACGCCGCGUGAGUGAAGAAGUAUUUCGGUAUGUAAAGCUCUAUCAGCAGGGAAGAAAAUGACGGUACCUGAGUAAGAAGCCACGGCUAACUACGUGCCAGCAGCCGCGGUAAUACGUAGGUGGCAAGCGUUAUCCGGAAUUAUUGGGCGUAAAGAGUGAGCAGGCGGCAGUUUAAGUCUGAGGUGAAAGCGUGGGGCUCAACCCCAUAUAGCCUUGGAAACUGAACAGCUAGAGUACGAGAGAGGUAAACGGAACUCCAUGUGUAGCGGUGAAAUGCGUAGAUAUAUGGAAGAACACCAGUGGCGAAGGCGGUUUACUAGCUCGAUACUGACGCUCAGUCACGAAAGCGUGGGUAGCAAAUAGGAUUAGAUACCCUAGUAGUCCACGCUGUAAACGAUGAGAACUAAAUAUUGCCGUGAGGCAGUGUUGAAGCUAACGCAUUAAGUUCUCCGCCUGGGGAGUACGCUCGCAAGAGUGAAACUUAAAGGAAUUGACGGGGACCCGCACAAGCAGUGGAGCAUGUGGUUUAAUUCGACGCUACGCGAAGAACCUUACCAGGGCUUGACAUGGAGGUAAAGGCUCUAGAGAUAGAGAGAUAGAUUAUACCUCACACAGGUGGUGCAUGGUUGUCGUCAGCUCGUGUCGUGAGAUGUUGGGUUAAGUCCCGCAACGAGCGCAACCCUCGUCCUUAGUUGCCAUCAUUCAGUUGGGAACUCUAGGGAUACUGCCGAUGUAAGUCGGAGGAAGGUGGGGAUGACGUCAAAUCAUCAUGCCCUUUAUGUCCUGGGCGACACACGUGCUACAAUGGCUGGUACAAAGAGACGCAAUACCGCGAGGUGGAGCAAAUCUCAUAAAGCCGGUCUCAGUUCGGAUUGGAGUCUGCAACUCGACUCCAUGAAGCUGGAAUUGCUAGUAAUCGCGAAUCAGCCAUGUCGCGGUGAAUACGUUCCCGGGUCUUGUACACACCGCCCGUCAAACCAUGAGAGCUGGUAAUACUCGAAG
rnacentral:rRNA from 1 species